CUCUCUGUGUGCCUCUCAUGAAUAAACAAAAUCUUUAAAAAAAUAAGAUUCACCAUCAUUUUUGUGUUUUCCCUAGGAGGAACUUUUUUUUUUUUAAGUAUCUGAUAAUGACACACAAGCCCUCAGCAGUAAGUACCCCUACAGUAAAUUCAGUAAUGAGGCUUCCUGUGGCUUCUUUUGUGUGACCUCCUUCAGUCACACAAAAUUUGACCUCACCUUCAAAUUCAACUCAAUAAAAAUAAUUUGUAGCAGUAGGUAGAACAAAGGGAUCCUGGCCUAUGGCUCUCCGAGGUCAGGAGCCACCAAAGGUACAAUUAUUUCAUGGUCUGGAACGGGUAGAGCACUCUUGAAGCAAUCUAGUGCAAGUCUUGUUUCUGUGACACAGAUACCAAGGGGCUGUCGUCUCCCCAAGAAAUCCAGAUAAGGUGGCACAGAGCUUCUGAGGAAAUCCCAAACCCUCUCCAAGGUCUCUGUUGAUGUUUAUUUUAGCCGCUGACAAUACACGGGAAGGAAGAGAGCAGGAGGGCAUAUUACAUCAUAGCAAUGCAGCUUCGGAGUGAAGUCUGGGCGCCCCUGUCCUUUUUCUUUUUUUUAACUUUUAAUUUAUUUUAAUUGUUUUUAAAAGAUUUUAUUUAUUUAUUCAUGAGAGAGGCAGAGACACAGGCAGAGGGAGAAGCAGGCUCCAUCCGGGGAGCCCGAUGUGAGACUCAAUCCCAGGACUCUGGGGUCAUGCCCUGAGCUGAAGGCAGGCGCUCAACUGCUGAGCCCCCCCAGCUGCCUGGUGUCCCUGUUCUUAAAGUUCCCUUAGCCACCCACCACGACUGUGCGCGUUCCCCCAUUUCUCACCGGCUCACUGGCUGCUCUCUUUUCUCCCUUACUGGACCCGCCCUCCGACCUCCCCAUCGGGAGAAAAAAAUUCACCAAUCCCUCGUUUGGUCACACUGAGGCAGCUUAACCAUCUCCUCUUCUUGCCUUCAAGGUCUCUUGCUCCUAUGACAAGGUGAUUUAUUAUUUUCCCAAAGGCAGUUCUUUCCCAAAAGGUGAAAAAAAAAUUUUUUUUCUUAGCAUGUGAGCUUUUGGUAAGAACUGAGUAGUAUGACUUUUGUCCUCAUUCGUUCCGCACAUGUAUACGGAACAGUUCACACGUGCCUUGCACACCACCAGCUGCUAGAUGUACCACACGAACGAGACAGAGUCCUUGCCCUGGAGGAAAGUGGAACAGAUGUGAGAUUCAACAUGCAAACUGCAAAUAGUGUGAUACGCCUCACCCGGUGGAAGAUUGAAGGGCUGCAGGCAGCACCUGACUCAGGGUCGUUAUUACUGCCUUAUCCAACAAAACAGACUUGAACAAAAGAGGAAAAAUAGUGACGCUACUACUACUACAUACCAUCGUUAAACCAGUGGGCAUUCUCCAAGUGUUCAGGCACGUCAUCAUCAUCAUGUGGAAUCCUCAACUCAUCCUAUUCAUUCUUUCAUCAAAUAUUUGUCAGGACUUCAAAGGAUUCCGAGCACUGUGCAUGCUGCAAUGGGCAAACAGGCCCCCUGCUCUCAGGCAGCCUGCAUCCUGCUGAGAACUGCAGACUGACAAUGACAAUCACACAAGUAAACAAGAUAAUUUCAGAUAGCAUCAAGGGCUUUGAGAACAACGGACGGAGUGAUAGGAAGUGACCGGCCCCCACAAGGGAGCUGAGGCCCGGGGCCAGAGAGGCCUCUCCCAGGAGGUGAAGUUCGAGCAGAGACCUGGAUAGUGAGAAAGAGCCCACCAGGGAGCAAGGUGCGGGAGCUCAGUGCGUUCAAAGACCCAGAAGGAGGCAAGCCAUGUGAAGACUCAGCAAGAAGAUGGCUUUGCCAGCUCCCUGAUCUUGGCCUUCCAGCCUCUGGAACUGUGAGAAAUGGAUUUCUCUUGUAAGCCACCCCGUCUCUGGCAUUUUGUGACAGCAGCCCAGACUGGCCGAGACACUUACCCAGGUCCUGCCUCCUUUGGUCCCGCGCUUCUUUCCAAGAAGAAAACGUAGCAUCCCUCACCCCUAUGUGUGUCUCAUUCAUCCCCUUUGGCAAGUGACAUGUCAGCCACCACCCCUCUCAGGCCCUCCGGCUCCUGCCUCCAAGCUGGCCCCUCCUGAGAGGGGUCCCGCUGCCCCUCUGUCUGCCCCCCCAGACCUCACCCAGACCUGUGGCCGGGCCUCCUGCUUGCGGGGCUUCAGUGAUGCUGCGUUCAUCUCCAGCUCCUCCCUGGGCCUGGGGCUCUGCACCCACAGAGCACAGGCUCUCCCAGACACUUGCAACCAGCUUGCAACCAGCCCCCCACAGAGCCGACACCUUUGUGUCUAACCCGCCCCCUUUCCAAGGUCACCGUGCUGUGCGUGGCACCACCAGACGGCCUGUGGUCUCAGCCAGGAGCCCAGGUCCUACCUCAACCACUUGCCAGGACACAAUGCAGACUCAAUGGCCAAGGUGAUGAGAGACACGAUGCGGGUGACAGUCCCUCCUGCCCAGCUCGUCAUGUGGACUGCAACAGUCCGCUCAUGGAGUGCUGCUGCCUUGUGACUCUGAGGAUCUCACUGCUCUGAACAGGGGCAAACCUAAUUGGAAAUAAGGAUAAAAGCCCAGCUCCUUAAGAUGACCUGUUACGAGAUAAGUGAAUCAGUGAGGAGGAUGGGAACCAGAUUCCUGGACUGCGGAGCCAGGAGGACCACACAGUGACGGGCUUCUGUGCCACACUCAGGGCUUGUCCUUAACCCUGAAGACUCUGGGGAGCUGAUGAAGAGUUUUAAGCUGAUCAGCGACAGAGCCAGAUGAGUUUGGAAGGUAUUUUUAGAGGACUUCCAUUUUUACAAAGUGUAUUUGUGCAAGCGUCACCUCAUUUAACCUCCUGUAGGGUAGGUAUUGUUUCCAUUUGGCAAGCGAAGACUUUGAGACAUUAUUCAUUAAUCAAAGUCAGAGCGCUAAUAAAGUUGUGGCCAGGAUUGAGUGGAACCUAGGUCUUCAUUUCCACACAGCCAUUCCGGGUGUGUUUAUUGUAGUCAGAUAAAAACUAUACACGAAGAGCUGGUAAGGGGAUGUGGAGGCAAAGAAUUAUAAGAAAAGUAGUAGUGCCCGCCAGGGAUCCGCGCUGAGUAGUUAGUAGAUUUUGUUUUGAGGCUUACUACUGCUCUUUUGCUAUUCUUGUUUUUAGAAGGUGGAGGAGGGACAGUAAAGUAUCUUCCAAAUUGAGAAGGCACUUUGAGACUGAAUUGACAAAGCAGGUGACUCCAGACAGUUUGUAGAGUGUUUUAUUCCGGAGAAUCAGGUGACAAUCCUGACGCUAUGCAGGUAUUCUCAACUAAGACCAAUCUUUGUCUACAGAUUGUAUAGGGAGAUGGGAGGUACAGAGGGCACUGUGAUGGGGUCAAAGGGUCUGCAUACACAUAAUUGAUAAUUAGCAUUUAACAGACCUCAUGGUAUGACCUGUGCAUGGGGUGGUGGUGGGGGGUGAACUAUAUUAUCUCCAUUAGUUAUCUAAACAACCUUAGGGAAGACCAGAACAAGCCUUCCUGCAUUCCGGGCCAGGGCAUAUAUUAUCCUCCAAGAACAUGAAGCCCCAAGGGAGGUCCUCACACGGACAUGAACAAUAUGGAAGGCCAAAGAUGAGGUCAGUGUUGUCAGCGCUGUGCACUUGUUCCUAAACUAAUUAUGACGAUGUAACCAAGUUACUGUUCUCCAGGGCAGUGAUUUCCAACCUGUGGAUGAAGGCCUUUUGGGGGGAUCCACGACUAUUCAGAGGGGCUUCAGGUUCAGUGCACAUUUUCUUAAUGGGAGCUGAGAAUACCACCAUCGAUUUUAUAGGGACUCCAAAGGUUUUAAAAUUUUAGUUUAUGUUACAAAGAGAUCCUCAUACUUGAACAGUUGGAAUUGUAAAUUACUAAAUACUAAAUAUAAAUUACUAGAUAUUAUGUGUGUGUUACUAAGGAUUAUACGUAUAUUGGCAGAGGGUGGUAGGACAUGGGAACAGUGGGGUUUGGGCAUGUAAAGGAUGGAUAGGAAAGGGGAAAGUACACUUGGUGAGAUGAGCAUGGGGGCACUAAACAUCCUGUAUUUUGUUCCCUGCCCUAGAAAAGGAAGCAGGUCAAUGACUCUCCCACCCCCCAGACUGGGGAUUGCAUUUUUUUUUUAUGUCAAUUCUGGGGAUACCCCAAUCAUGUCCAAACUGUAUCAUUAACAAAACAGCAUGUAGACAAAACUUGAAGGAUUCAUUUAGAGUUCAAGUUGGAGAGAAAAGAAAACACUGUAAGCCCAAGGCCGAGGCUGCUGGAGAAGCAGGUGAGGGGAAUGAGAGAGGGUAAUCCUGGGUCCUGGUAUAGGCCACUUACCUCCAGGGACCUCAGUCUCUCAUCUGUGAAUGGAAGUGACACCUCUUUGGUCUGAAUAAACCCAUGAAUGUAAAGAUCGCUGCCGACUCUUGGCAUCAACAGCUGCAGGUUCUCUACAAAUGUGUUUACUCUCUGACCCAGUGAUUCUCCCGGGAGUUUACCCUAAAACUGUCUCUCCUCCAAUAAAAGGAAUACAAGCAAAAGCUUAUUCACUGUGCCACUAUUUGCCAUAGCAAAGUAUUACAAACAACCUGCAUGCCGUGUUUUAGUUUUCUCUUGCUGCCUAAUCCAUGACCACAAGAUUUAGCUGAGAGCAACAUUGACUUGUUGGCUCCUAGCCCUGCCCAUUGGAAGUCUGACGUCGUGGCUGAGUUCUCUGCUCAGGGUGAAUCAAGGUGUUUCUUGUGGCGCCAGGACCAAGGAUCCCGUUUCCUUGCUGGGUGACCCUCUCAGCUCCCCGAGGCUCCCCGCACCUCUUCGCCGUCAAACCAGCACAUCCAAUCCUUCUUGUGAUUUGAAGCUCUGACUCCCCUUCUGAGGGCGGCUAGAAAACACUCUGCUUUUAAAGGGCCUGCGUGAUUAGGUCAGCCCACUGGACAGUCUCGCUCUCAGGGGAUCAACUGAUUUGGAUGCAAAAUCCUUUCACAGCCAUACCUAGAUGAGUGUUUGAUUGAAUGGCUGGGAGAAGCAUGUGUGCACCAGUGGCCAAGAAUCCUGGGGCCCAUCUUAGGACCCUGCCCAUCACACAUAGGCAGCUGAAUACGUCUGCUGGGUCCAGGCACAUGAUGAAGAACUAUGCUAUAGUGAGAAGCGAUGAGAGAGGCCUCUGUGGACUGCUCUAGCAUGUCUUCCAGGAUGCGUUAUACAUUAUCACAUGCAAAAAGCCAGGUGGAAUAAAGUGUGCUUCCUUUCCUGUAAGAAAGAAGUGGAAGUUAAGAAAAACAUAUAUUAUGGCAGGCAGCCUUGGAGAUGGGCCCCAAUGAUCCUUGCCUUUUACAUGUAAGCUUACAUAAUCCUUUUCCUUUGAGUCUGGGCUGGACUUAUCAACUGGUUCCAGCCAACAGAAUAUAGCAGAAGUGUUAAAUUAGGUUAUGAAGGGAUGAUUGGCUUCCAUCUUGGAAUCAAUGUCCCUGUCUCUCCCUGAGCUCUCUCUCUCUCUCUCUC